GGCGUCUGCUGUAGUAGCGACGAAGCGUGAAAAAAAAAAAAAAAUACUACAGAGUCGGCAGGGGAAGAGGGAAUGUGGACAUCAGAGCGCCAUCCUCUUGCGGAAAGCGUUCGGCUGCGAAAGAUAAGCUCUACAGCCAACAUGGGGCUUGAACUCACAACCCCAAGACCAAGAGUCGCAUUCUCUACUGAUGGAGCCAGACAGGUGUCCUUGAAGCCACAUGUUGAAGAGAGUCUGUUCCCUUAGCCUCUUCUGUUGAGG